rnacentral:misc_RNA from 1 species
GGAUCACGUGAUCUGUUCUGUUCAAAAUGGCGGCAGACACAUUGAAGUUUAUGCAGAAUGCAACUGUGAAAGUGCUGGGACUUUGUUGGAGUUACAAGAAAAUUGUUCUCGUGGUUGCUGGCGGUGUCGGCUAUCAUGCACUGAGGAGAUAUUUUGGAGGUGGUGUUUGCCACAGUAGAGCUCGUCUUGAUGGCAAAACUGUUUUGAUCACUGGGGCCAAUUGUGGCAUUGGGAGAGAGACUGCAAGAGACCUAGCUGGAAGAGGUGCCCGAGUGAUCCUGGCGUGUCGAGACGUGACGAAGGCCGAGAGAGCUGCGGAUGAUAUCAGGAAGAACACCGGCAAUCCAGAAGUCGUUGUCAGAGUUGUCGACCUCGCAUCGCUGGAAUCGGUGAGGAAAUUUGCUCGUGAAGUCACAGAGAAGGAAAAGAGGCUUGAUGUUUUGAUCAACAAUGCAGGUGUCAUGUUCUGCCCGUACUGGAAGUCUCAGGAAGGCUAUGAGAUGCAGUUUGCUGUCAAUCAUCUCGGCCACUUCCUACUCACCAAUCUCCUCCUGGACCUCCUAAAGAAGUCGGCGCCAAGUCGCAUUAUUUGUGUGUCAUCUCUCGCUCACAGACGAGGCAGGAUCAACUUCGAGGACAUCAACAUGGAACAGCACUAUGACUCGCUGAUGGCGUACGGGCAGAGCAAGCUGGCAAAUGUGCUGUUUGCCAGAGAACUAGCCAGGAGACUACAAGGCACCGAGGUGACCGCCAACUCACUACACCCGGGUGUGGUCAAGACAGAGCUCGGCCGUCAUCUCUCAGUGAUGGGGGUGUCAUGGUUUAAACAGACCCUGUUCAAAGUGGCAUCUCUCAUCUUCAUCAAGACUCCCGUUCAGGGCGCCCAGACUACAAUAUUCUGCGCAGUGGACGAGAGUCUGAAUGACGUCUCAGGGAAAUAUUUCAGCGACUGUGCCGAGAAGGGCACUGCUGCCCAAGGUCAAGAUGAUGAGGUGGCAAAACAGCUCUGGGAUCUCAGUUGCAAGAUGGUGAAUCUACCGGCAUUGUAACGACCACAGGAAGCUUUCAAUCAGGAUGCAGAAAACAUGACGGGUUGUUAUUAUGUAUAUAUAAUAUUUAUAUGAGUGUUUUUGAAGACUACACAUCAUCAAUACAUUGGAAUACACCCCGUUAAUAUGAUCAUUUGCAGUGUCAUAGUGACUUGUGUUUAUUAUUAGUCAGCUAAUAAAAUGGGACAGCUUGUAGCUCACGGAAGUCAUAUGAGCCUAAUUAUGUGCAUGAACUUGGUACAAACCCUACCUUUGCCUGAUAUAGAAGCAAUCGAUGCUCAUGAUGUCAAUCACUGGAUUGUCUGGUCCAGUCUCGAUUAUUUACAGACCGCCGUAAUAUAGCUGGAAUAUUGCUUUACCAUCACAUUGUUGCCAAGCAUCUGAUCAUGAGAGGCACUCUCAUAGCUGUUAUCAUCUAUUACCGGGAUAUAGCUAAAAUGGAUAGAAUUAUCAUUAAACCGUUCUCAUGUUAUCAGAAAUGAGUUGGUCACUGUAACUUGAUAAUGCCCUCAUAUUGCUUGACGACGGGCCAUUAUCACGCCCGUUGUUAGGUGAUGUCAUAUUGAUGUUCAAUGGUGACAUCAUCUGUUUUUUUCUAUGACGUUUCCAUAUUUGUAAAUAGGGGUCAGUGACGUUCGUUGUGUGUUGAUCAAAACCGACAUUGUUGUGUAUUUUUAUUUGAUAAGAAAUCCUAUCCAUUUUAGCUGUAAUAACGAUAACGCUAUUUUUCAGGGCAUUAUCAUUUGCAGAAGCCCUCAGUCUUUUCAACUGCCCUCCUUCAUCGGGCAGUUAAUGGAAGACCUCGGGCUUCUGCAAAUGAUAAUGCCCUGAAAAAUAGCGUUACCCUUAAAACAGUGAUUAUGUAGAGGGGAAUGGCUGAGUAACUGUCCAUUCCUGAAAAAUAAUUGUCCUUGGAUCCUGCAGGGUCAAAGGCCCAUUAGUUUAAGGAAUGGAAAGUUAUGAGGAUGUUCCCCUACUUAAAACACAUCUCUACUUUACACUUUGACAAAACAUUCUCUUGUGGAAAAUAUUUGAAAACUCUUUGUAGACUGUAUUUAUAUGGAGUGAGUCGCUUCGCAUGAUGCACAAGGAAUGCCUUCUCUGCCGCCGUUGCACGUGCACCAAGCUCCGUCACAGGCUGAUUUUUACAACGCAUUGUACACGGCUCCUCAUAGUUUUGGGGGGUCCGAAACUAGCAGUUUAUCAAUUGCUUGCACGUUGUAAAUACAUGCUGUCAGGGAUUAUUGGAAAUAUGGAGCCCUGAACAAGGAUAUAUAUGUUUACCUUUAAUAUUCUUUUUCUCGAAAAGGUUUAAAUAUAAACAUUGUUAUAGGUAACCAGCUGUAACCAUGGUAACACAACACUAUGUACAUAUUAUUUUCGGGGCUUUCAAGGUUAAUGCAAAUAUUUGAAAAUAUUUAAUAGUUAUUUUCACAUCAUACCAUCAUGUGUACCUUUGCUGAGUCGACAAUUAGACGUCUUCAAAUAAAAUGGUGCGGGUUUGAAAACCCGAUGGCGACACCUUUUCCUAUAAACUUUGAAAUCCUUAAAUUGUCAAAUAUAAAAAAAAUAGUUCCGUCCAUUCCAAGUGUAAAUUAAUUGAAAUGUUGUUUAAAGAUAAUGUAUAAUUGUCCAUUCCUGAAAAUUAUGGAGCGUUUAAACAGUAGAAUGACGUCACAGAAGUCUUUUAUUUUCAAAGAAUGUAUGUCACAUGAUUGCUCUGUCAGAGACUGAGAGAGUGUGUGGUCGACAGUACAUGACACGAAUGCUAAGCUCUGAGACAGUGUCGAGCAUAAGGUAUGGUGUGAAGAGCUCAGGGGAGUACAGACUAUUUUUUUAUUGUUUUAUAUCAGCACAAUGAAGUGACAUUCUUUCAAAGCUUCAACAAGUAUAUAAACCAAUACUGUGUAGAACAAUUUCUAUGUUUGUCAGAGGAUGCAAAAAUCUAAUUGCCAAAGAAAAAGCCAUCCCAGGGCUACUCUUAUCUUGCUUGUUUAAGUAAUUUUGUUAAAGACUAUUGAAAUGUUGACUGUAUAUUGUCUGUUUCUUUACAUGUGGAACUGUUGUUGAGUUAAUGAUGUCAGGGAAUGCUAUAUAUUCGAUAGUGGUUUAGCUAUCACAAUGAUUUUGUUACAGAUGCAUCUAUAUUUCACUAGUGUUUUAGCUAUCACAAUUCUUUUGUUAUAGUUGCACCUAUAUUUCAAUUGUGUUUUAGCUUUCACGAUGCUUUUGUUAUAGUUGCACCUAUAUUUCAAUAGUGUUUUAGCUUUCACAAUGCUUUUGUUAUAGUUGCACCUAUAUUUCAAUUGUGUUUUAGCUUUCACGAUGCUUUUGUUAUAGUUGCACCUAUAUUUCAAUUGUGUUUUAGCUUUCACGAUGCUUUUGUUAUAGUUGCACCUAUAUUUCAAUUGUGUUUUAGCUUUCACAAUGCUUUUGUUAUAGUUGCACCUUUAUUUCAAUUGUGUUUUAGCUUUCACAAUGCUUUUGUUAUAGUUGCACCUAUAUUUCAAUUGUGUUUUAGCUUUCACGAUGCUUUUGUUAUAGUUGCACCUUAAUUCAAUGGGGCAUUAGCUAUCACAAUGAUCUAUUUAAAGUUGCCCCUAUAUUACCAUAGUGGUUUAGCUAUCACAAAACUGUUGGAGUACUUGCACCCAUAUUAUAAGAGUGGUUUAGUUACCACAAUUCUAUUUAUAUGACUUUAAUGUUUUAGCUAUCACAAUAGUUGUACCAUGAUUCUUUAUCUUUGUGUUACCACAACACUAUUGCAAUAAUCACUUCUGAACACAACACAUACCUUCAGGUUUUACUGGCUGUGCAAUAUUGCAUCUUAUAAGCAUUCACAUUGUGAAUGGAUGCAAAUAAUUUACAUUGUCAUGAUCAGACUGGAGGACGAAAAAAAAAUUGGGUGUUUGAAUCAGAAAAACUAAUUAAAAUUGUUAAUUAAAUUAACACAUUUCCAUCCUUGUAAGAAAUGCACACACAUUGAAAUCCCAUCUUUGUAAAUAGCAAGGGCUAAAUGUAAACUUCUUGGAAAUAAAGCGAAGCCUGCCUCAUGGACAACGAUUGACAAGGAUCCUUCAUCAACGACUGCUGAUACUGUUGAAAGGAUGUGUUAUUCUUGUUUUGUAUUGAAAGUUGUUUUUUUAAUGACAAUCAUGGCAUGAUACCUUCAUGUACUUCUGAACUGUUAUUCUUGUGUAGAGCUAUAUCCCUGUUUCUCUUUGCUACAUGUAAACUGUCUUCCCGAGGCAAGGGAGUUAACUGACUGUAAAAGUCCAGUUUCCACCCUUGCCGAACUUGGCUGGUGUUAUGUAGUUAUAUUUUGCCUUCACUAACAAGUCUUUGUAUAGUCCAAUCAAAAUCACGUACCGAAAUCGACAUCUGGUUUGUAAAUAACAUGGACUUCAACUGCAGACGUCGGUCAACUGCAGAUGUCGUUUAACUGCAUCAUUUGCAAAGCAUGUGUACCAUCAAAUGGGCGUCGACAGAUAUUUACCAAAUCUAUUCAUGUUUUUAAUUUAGAUGCUCACCUGAUUUGAUUCACUUUUCAAAGUAAGACCAGUUUUAUUACAAUAUAUAUCUUGAUUAUAGAUCAGAUCGUGUUGACAGGGCCCCGCCAUUUUGUUUGAAGCAAAUUCAAGUGAAAUGAGAGGUGGAAUCUGAUUGGUCAAUAGGAGGGCAUAGAAGGGACCUAACUCGUGAUAUAUACACUGGUGGUACUACGACGAGCCCAAUAAUUCCUGCCAAGUUCGGCAAGGGUGGAAACGUUUAAGAGUCAGUGAACUCCCUUGCCUCUGGAAGAUGCAUGUAAGCAGAUGUCACAAUGCUGCGGCGUUGUGUGUGUGUACAGACAACGAUUCCUGCAAUGUAAAAAAGUUUCAAACAAUCCAACAGUUUUACUAUUGGAGCAUUUUGCCGUUGAAUUUGUUUUAUUUAUGUUUACAUGUUUGUGAAUUGUGAAAGGUACAUCUAAUUGGUGUUUGGUCUACUGCAACCAUAGUUUGUGACUUGUGCAAGGUAAUUGGUGUUUGGUCUACUGCAACCAUAGUUUGUGACUUGUGCAAGGUAAUUGGUGUUUGGUCUACUGCAACCAUAGUUUGUGACUUGUGCAAAGUCAUUGGUGUUUGAUCGACUGCUUCCAUAGUUUGUGACUUGUGCAAGGUAAUUGGUGUUUGAUCGACUGCUUCCAUAGUUUGUGACUUGUGCAAGGUCAUUGGUGUUUGGUCUACUGCUUACAUAGUUUGUGACUUGUGCAAGGUAAUUUGUGUUUGGUCCACUGCUUACAUAGUUUGUGACUUGUGCAAGGUCAUUGGUGUUUGGUCUUCUGCUUACAUAGUUUGUGACUUGUGCAAGGUCAUUGGUGUUUGGUCUACUGCUUACAUAGUUUGUGACUUGUGCAAGGUAAUUAGUGUUUGGUCUUCUGCUUAUAUAGUUUUAUGAAUGCUUUCCACAAAGGAAUAACUGUACGUAACUGUAUGUACGUAUGUUUUAUUUCUGAAUCAGGUCACAAUGAAGAGUUUGUUAGUUGAUAAAUUUUAAUCUAGUCAAUUAUCAUGACAGGGCAAUCCCUCACAUGUUGUAGAUGUUUGGAAUUGAAAACCUGGGCCUUCAGUUGAACACUUUAACCACGAGGCUACCACCUACAACUUGUGUUGAACAGGCCUGUAUACAUGGUUUAAAUGUUGCUUGAAGAUGCUCAAGUUCUAUUGUAUAAGGUUGUUGUCACAUACUCGUUUAAACUGUUAUGAUAUUAUAUGGUAAAAGGUGGGGGGCACGGGUGGCCCAGUCGUCUAAGGCGACACGAUUGUGAUUGUGCGUUCGAAUCCCGGUUCACACCGAUUAUGUUUCUAGGUUUGUCAGCACCAUACCCGUGCUCCAUACCGAAGUGCUAAUCGUCUGAGACUGCAUCUCUUCGGGCUAACCUCCCACAUUAAACUGACACGCCGCGAUAUAACUGAAAUACUGUUGAAACCCAACUCACUAUAUGGUAAAAGUUAGCCUUGAUUUGCCGGUUACUGGUUAGGGACCGACCAUAUUCUGCUCGAAAACCAGAUAUUUCCAUAAGUUAAACUAUGAGUCAAAAUAAUUUUUUUCUAAAAAAACGCAUGUAAUGUAAUUUUUGAGGCAGACAAUAUCUUUUUUCCCCAGCAAUAUGAAGCUGGGGAAAUUAUUUUGUUCAAGAAUUUUCGGAGGCAAUUUAUUUUUUUGGGAUAAAAUCGCGGGCUAUCAAAUGGUCGGCCCCUAAAUAUAGGUUGUCCUUGAUUUACCUGGUCUGAACUUGUUAAGUUAUUGCGAUUUUUGGGAGUUGGUGCUCACGAAGGCUUCCAUUAAAAAUUGAAAGAAGAAUUGCAUUGGAAUUUGUUCUUAUUUUAGGAAAAGUCCUUUCAUUCUUGUACAUCAUCUAUAAUCGUAUACUUUCCUUUAAAGAUGUAGAUGACACUAUGUAGAGAAUAACAAGAGGUACAAGGAAUAAAGUUUAUAUACCUG